CGCCAAGACAGUUUAAUCCUUAAACAUUAGGCUGUGAUCCUAACAAUAGAACAUAGUUCUUCUUGGC
rnacentral:tRNA from 1 species